rnacentral:rRNA from 1 species
AAACGACUCUCGGCAACGGAUAUCUCGGCUCACGCAUCGAUGAAGAACGUAGCAAAAUGCGAUACUUGGUGUGAAUUGCAGAAUCCCGUGAACCAUUGAGUUUUUGAACGCAAGUUGCGCCCGAAGCCAUCCGGUUGAGGGCACGCCUGCCUGGGCGUCACGCA